CGCGCACGCAACGGCGCCGGCGUCGCGCCGCCGCGACCGCCCCGCCGGGAGGCCCUGCACGCACGCGCCGCCGGCCGGGCCAGAUGACCAGAGGAGGGACGCCACCUGGUGGUAAGAGUGUGGAGUGAGCAUUGAGUUCCCUUCUCAAAAUUUGCCUCCAGUAAACAAAAUAAUCCUGCCUUCUAGUCAACCCUAUCAAAGAGCUGAGCAUCAGGGAAAAACUCCGAUCUCCAGGAACAAAUGACAAAAAAAAAAAAAAGUAGAAGGCACUGUUUCCAAAUGGAGCAGAGGAACUGAAAUCCAAGUUAGAGACAUGAUCUAUAAACACACAGGAAAGCAACCAAAAGAAAGCUUGGAUUUGCUCAUCAUUUCAUCUAAAUGUAGUGAUAAUAAUAAUGACUUUCCACUUACUGCGUAAUACUACGUUCCAGAUGCAUGGGUACACUGUGCUGUGUGCUGAACAUAUUUAAUCUCCUUUAAUUCUCAGCAACAACCUUAUAAGGGAGAUAUUACUAUACCCAUUUUAUGGGGAACAAAUGUCAGUUCAGAAAGUUUGAGUAACUCCCAGGAUCACACAGCCAGGACCUGACAAGCUGGGAUUUGACUUCAGGUCUGUGGACUCUGAAACUCAUGAUAUUAACCAUUAGGUUAGACACCUGAUAGAUAUGGCCAUUCAACAGGUUGAAAGUGGAUCUCAUCAUCUUUGCUUCUCUUCCUCCUCCACUUCACACCUCAGCGAACAGCACAACCUGUCCUCCCCACACCUAUCCAGUUGACCAAGCCAGACAUCCAGGCAGGUUUGUUUUUGUUUUUGUCUUUGUCUUAUGUUUGAGACAGAGUCUCACUCUGUCAUCUAGGCUGGAGUGCAGUGGCACCAUCUUGGCUCACUACAACCUCCACCUCCAGGGUUCAAGCAAUUCUCCUGCCUCAGCCUCCCAAGUAGGUGGGGUUACAGGCACCCGCCACCACACCCGGCUAAUUUUUUAUAUUUUUAGUAGAGAGGGUUUCACCAUGUUGGCCAGGCUGCUCUCAAACUCCUGACCUCAAGUGAUCCGCCCACCUCAGCCUCCCAAAGUGCUGGGAUUACAGGCAUGAGCCACUGUGCCUGUCUCACCCAGGAGUUUUGAUACCACACCUAAUCACUCACCAAUUUUGUUGAUUCUCUCUCAUAAAUUCACAUUUUUUUCCUAUGCUCUCUAUCCUCACUGCUGCUGCCUU
rnacentral:lncRNA from 1 species